rnacentral:rRNA from 1 species
AUUACGUCCCUGCCCUUUGUACACGCCGCCCGUCGCUACUACCGAUUGAAUGGCUUAGUGAGGUCUUGGGAUUGGCUUCGGGGAGCCGGCAACGGCACCCUGUCGCUGAGAACUUGAUCAAACUUGGUCAUUUAGAGGAAGUAAAAGUCGUAACAAGGUUUCCGUAGGUGAACCUGCGGAAGGAUCAUUAUCGAGUUUUGAAACGGGUUGUAGCUGGCCUUCCGAGGCAUGUGCACGCCCUGCUCAUCCACUCUACACCUGUGCACUUACUGUAGGCUUUCAGGAGCUUCUAGAGCAGAGAUGGUCGGCCUUCACAGGUCGGUCGCCUAAGUUUUCUAGUUAUGACUGGGGCUUACGUCUUACCACAAACUCUUAUAAGUAUCAGAAUGUGUAUUGCGAUGUAACGCAUCUAUAUACAACUUUCAGUAACGGAUCUCUUGGCUCUCGCAUCGAUGAAGAACGCAGCGAAAUGCGAUAAGUAAUGUGAAUUGCAGAAUUCAGUGAAUCAUCGAAUCUUUGAACGCACCUUGCGCUCCUAGGUAUUCCUUGGAGCAUGCCUGUUUGAGUAUCAUGAAAUUCUCAACUCCCAAGUUUCUUACUUGGUGAGCUUGGAUUUGGAGGCUUGUGCUGGCUUCUUGAAAGUCAAGCUCCUGUAAAAUGCAUUAGCGUGAAUCUUACGAAUCGCCUUCAGUGUGAUAAUUGUCUACGCUGUGGCUGUGAAGUAUUUAUGUGUUCAUGCUUAUAAUCGUCUCUAAGACAAUUUCUUAACUUCUGAUCUCAAAUCAGGUAGGACUACCCGC